GUGUGGAGGCUGACGGCAGUGUGAGGAGGCGGAAAAACCAGUUGCUGGAGUAGUUCUUGUUGCCGUUUCCAAUAUCAAAAUGGGGGAAUAAGAACCAUUACACAUAGCUUGGUGGAGAUCAAAGAGAAGACAGAAGAUACAGAUUUUUGAAAUUCUUGUGAUAAUGACUUAUUCUCUCAAAACUAAAUUGAUGGUCUCAGAAUUAGACGUGAGAUAUUCUUCAUCUCCGGGUUCUCAUUGAUGGGAGAAACAUAACAGAGAAAAAGAUCAGUUGGGAUUGGGAUUGGUUGUACUGGUAAUUAUUGAAUUAGAGAUUUUGUAAAUUUCUCACAGUUUCCAAUUGGUUUUAGUCAGGAAAAAAUUUCAGGGUGUUUUCAUUUCUGAUUUUGGUAGUGCUGUAUGUACUUGUAACAUUCUCUUAUGAACAUAGAAUGAUCAGUUCAGAGCUUGCAUUUCAACUGUUAGUGAAGAUUUCCAUUGCAGAUCUUAUUAGCU